UGCUUAUCAAGAAAGACGGAGGGAUUAGGCCCUGAGAUGUCUUAGCAACCCAAUUCAGUUGGGUGCUACUUCCUACCUGACGCCCCUGCGGCCGAUGGGGAGAUGAGUG
rnacentral:ncRNA from 2 species